CUUAUGGUGAGCAUGCUCUUGGUAAAUCACAGUGCUUUGAGUGGUUUAAAAAAUUCAGAAAUGGCAAUUUUGACCGUCAUCCUCAUCCAACAAUGCUUGCAAUUCGCUGUCUUGAAACUUUUUCGGUGGACUUCCACAUUCUUCGUUCCUCACGUCAAAAUUGCCACUUCUGAAUUUUUUAAACCACUCAAAGCACUGUGAUUUACCAAGAGCAUGCUCACCAUAAGCUUCGACAAGUAUUCGAUGCGAUUCUGCAGCAGUUUUCUUCAAAUGGUAACAGAAAAUCAAUGCUGUCCGCAAAUCGUAGUUUCCAGGCACAAAAUUCGACAUGUU
rnacentral:misc_RNA from 1 species